UCCUGGCAAGUCUUUUUUUCUCUUAUCAUUGAAUUAGGAAGAUCAUGUUGCUGGUACAAAUGUUCAUCUUGUCCGAUUUUCUUAUAGGCUAAUGUGUGUAUUUGUGUGGAAUUUUUAUUGUUUUUCUUUUUCAAAUCAGGAUUUUGUGUAAUUCUGGGUGGAGGUGAAUUCAACAGGGCCAGUAAAUAAAACUGACUGUACAGUACUUUGAUUACGCAAAAUUUGUGAAAUGAUAAAUACCUGACGUGUUAUUUUACUAUUUCCUUCAUUAUCAAAGGGUGGAACAAAAAUGUGUAUGUGUUUCCCUACUUCAAUAAUUAAUGUGACACUGCCUCUUUAAAGUAUAACUCCCGCCUUUGACUCUUCCCCUUUUAAUCUUGGUGCCAUGCAUGUGCAGAUGAAGACGAGUGUGCAGGAGAUGUUCUUCUGAGCAUCCUCCAUCUCCAUCCAUCAAUCCAACGCGGACACCUCUGACAACCUUUACGACCCGAGUACUCUUUCCAGUCAGCUACAACGUCCCUCGUCGCCACCCUGCCGCGAGUCUCUCUGCGAGGGAGAAAAUGAAGAAAGAAGAAAGAAAAAAAAAAAGUUGUCCGGGAGGCCCACGAGGGACACUGCUGUGGUUCUGCUGCUGUGAAUUAUUGACCUGUGCCAGAGGGGAAGGUAGAGGUCAGCGCUGCCAAUGACAAAAAGGACAAACCCGAGCCUUGGACCUAAGGUCUUCAAGUCAUGUGGUGGCCGUUGGAGGGGGAGUGGCCAAGCAUGCUCGAUUGACCCGCCCCUCUGAUUUUGUUGCAGAUCCCAAAUUUGGCUCCCCGCCAGGCUGCGGACAUCUUUGGCCUUGUAUCUCCCUUUUUUUAACUCAUGUCUGGAGUGCGCAAGCUUGUCUGAUCUCCUCUCCUUUGUGCAUGCUGUGAAAUAUUUAAACCUCCACGACGGGCUGCGCCUCGCUCUUUAAAAACAAGAUGAUGAAUAAAUGAAGGCUUUCUCUUGUCGGCUGCUUGUUUAACGUUCAUUAACAUUUGAGUUUUAAAAGGGGCCCGGUACCAGCUGUAUUUAUUAUUCUUGCAACUGUUGCCUUUUAGGGGGACUCCGCAUGCACAAAACUUUUAGGAUGUUGCCACGUGCUUGAAAAAUAUAUGCCUUUGCACUUAUAAAAUGUGUUUUGUGUAUUAUCGCUUUGCCCGUGAGUAGCCAUCAGGUCGUAUAUUAACUGUGUCCUCGGAUGUUUUUUUUUUUUUUUUCCCUGAAACUUUCUCAUUAGCCUCAAAAGUGUUUAUCCUGUCACGUGCCGAUGCAAAAAGUUACAAAAUAAAAAUCCCCUGACAACUGG